rnacentral:rRNA from 1 species
UACGUAGGGUGCAAACGUUGCUCGGAAUUAUUGGGCGUAAAGCGCACGUAGGCGGCUUAGCAAGUCGGAAGUGAAAGCCCUCGGCUCAACCAAGGAAGUGCAUUGGAAACUGCAGUGCUUGAGUACUUAAGAGGAUCGCGGAAUUCCCGGUGUAGAGGUGAAAUUCGUAGAUAUCGGGAGGAACACCAGUGGCGAAGGCGGCGAUCUGGGAAGAUACUGACGCUGAGGUGCGAAAGCGUGGGGAGCAAACAGG